GACGAACGCUGGCGGCGUGCUUAACACAUGCAAGUCGAGCGGUAAGGCCCUUUCGGGGUACGACGAGCGGCGAACGGGUGAGUAACACGUGGGUGACCUGCCCUCAGCUCUGGGAUAAGCCUGGGAAACCGGGUCUAAUACUGGAUAUGACUCCAUGACGCAUGUUGUGGGGUGGAAAGCCUUGUGCGGCUGAGGAUGGGCCCGCGGCCUAUCAGCUUGUUGGUGGGGGUGAGGCCUACCAAGGCGACGACGGUAGCCGGCCUGAGAGGGCGACCGGCCACACUGGGACUGAGACACGGCCCAGACUCCUACGGGAGGCAGCAGUGGGGAAGUCUUGCGCAAUGGGGCGAAAGCCUGACGCAGCGACGCCGCGUGAGGGAUGACGGCCU
rnacentral:rRNA from 1 species